rnacentral:rRNA from 1 species
UGGGGAAUCUUGCGCAAUGCGCGAAAGCGUGACGCAGCAACGCCGCGUGGGGGAAGAAGGCCUUCGGGUUGUAAACCCCUUUCAGGAGGGACGAAGGUGCGGCGGCGAACAGUCGACCGUACUGACGGUACCUCCACAAGAAGCCCCGGCUAACUACGUGCCAGCAGCCGCGGUAAUACGUAGGGGGCUAGCGUUGUCCGGAAUCAUUGGGCGUAAAGCGCGCGUAGGCGGCCCGGUAAGUCCGCUGUAAAAGUCCAGGGCUCAACCCUGGAACGCCGGUGGAUACUGUCGGGCUAGAGUCCGGAAGAGGCGAGUGGAAUUCCUGGUGUAGCGGUGGAAUGCGCAGAUAUCAGGAGGAACACCGAUGGCGAAGGCAGCUCGCUGGGACGGUACUGACGCUGAGGCGCGAAAGCGUGGGGAGCGAACAGG